GAAAUCAGUUCAGCACUAAGUCACUUUGUCUAUAUGGCAAAUGUGAGAUGCAGUGUAUGGAGCGUCAAUAUUCUAGUAUGAGAAAUUAACGAUUUAAGUCCUUCUUAAAUGAGGCCAUUUACCCAUAGAGGGUGCCAGGCCCGUAUAACGUUAAUGAUUAUUAGAUGAUGUUUCCAAAGAGUCGUGUUGCUUGAUAGUGCAGCACUAAGUGGGUGGUAAACUCCAUCUAAAACUAAAUAUAACCAUGAGACCGAUAGUAAACAAGUACCGUGAGGGAAAGUUGAAAAGAACUCUGAAUAGAGAGUUAAAUAGUACGUGAAACUGCUUAGAGGUUAAGCCCGAUGAACCUGAAUAUCCGUUAUGGAAAAUUCAUCAUUAGAAUUGUAGUAUUUAAUCAAUAUUAUAAUAAUAGUGUGCAUUUUUUCCAUAUAAGGACAUUGUAAUCUAUUAGCAUGUAUGGAAUUUAUCAAACAAUUUUGAUAAGAGUUUAUUUAAAUUAGAGUGCUUGCAUUUUAACACAAAAUAAAUUUCAAAAAUUUGAUAAAGUGCUGAUAGAUUUAUAUGAAUACAGUGCGUUAAUUUUUCGGAAUUAUAUAAUGGCAUAAUUAUCAUUGAUUUUUGUGUUUAUUAUAAGCACUUGUAUGAUUAACAAUGCGAAAG
rnacentral:rRNA from 1 species